GCCUCCAACUUCCAAAUGCAGUAUCACCUGCCUAGGCAUUUCCUCUUGUAGGGGGUGGGGUUUGGAGACAGGGUCUCUUUGUGAGUUCAGACUGACCUUAAAUUUGGGAUCUUCCUGCCUCAUCUCCUAAGGGCUGGCAUUAUGGUGUAUGCCACCAAACCUGGCUCUUUGUAUGGGUUUUCUCUUUUCAAAAAAACCUGGUUUUGUAGUGGUAAUUGUGACCAUUGUAUCAUCCCACCUGAAUUUCCUGCGAUCUUCAAACCAAGCUCAGAAGGAAUUGGAAAGAAAGUUGGGGGACUUGAGGGAUGGCUCAGAGGUUAAGAGCACUGACUGCACUUCCAGAGGACCUGGGUUCAGUUCCCAGCAACCACAUGGUGGCUCACAACCAUCUAUAAAUGGGAUCUGGUGCCCUUUUUUGGCCUGCAGGCAGAACACUAUAUACAUAAUAAAUAAAUCUUUAAGAAAAAGAAAGUUGGGCAAAGCAAACCGGUUCCUGGGCUGAAGUCAAGUUGAUUCUCGUGCUGGAAACUGAAGCCUGGAGCUUAUACUCUGGGCAAGGGUUCACCGUGGGAACACUGAUGUCAGCAGCUGUCAGCAGCUGGCCAGUCUCUGCUUGAAGCAGUACUGCCCUGGUUAGAGAAAGCACUGGAGUUCCGUGCAUCCUCCGAAGUUGGCUCUGUGUAUCCACCAUAGUUCCAUGAAGAGAUUAGCAAAGGUCAGGAGGCCUCACAGGUUAACCCGCUGGAGAACAAGCUCCCUGUAAUAACAGCCUGCAGAUAGCUCCUGAUUGGGCUUUUAUAAUGGAGUCCUGGCCACACCCUGGGAUCAGCAGCUUGGGAAGUUAGGGGUGCUAGAGGUUGCGAAGGUGAACAUGUUUACUGAUGCCGCUUCCUUUUAUUUUCUGUCUUUUGAGAUGGUAAAAUUGGUGUGGGUGACCCUUAGUGACUGUUUUUCUUCCUUUCUCCAUGUGCCCCAGUUACUUCCCCCAGUUGCUACCAGUUUCUGUUUUGGAUGUCUGGCACGUUCAGAGAGAAAGCUGGUACCCUUGGACUGGAUUGCUAAGGAUGGAGGCAGACCGCUUUCUCUGAGGGCCGUCAGUAUUGGCCUGUGCCUCCUGCCUUGAGUCCUGACACUCAAUUUGAAAGCCUCCCCAAACUGCUCCAGCCAGCCAGCCUCAUGUAUUCCUCUCCUGCAGCCAGACGUGCUGUGUUUACCAGUGUUUGGUGUUGGAAUUGUAGGGUACAAUUCCAAGUAUUUUCCAGCCUCGUGAUAAGUUCCACACCAUAAUAAACACAGCUUGAACCAUUCAGUUCCAUCCUUUUUGAGAUCUGCACAUGAUCACCAGGCUGGGGCAUGGGCACUUGCUGGGAGAGUCGUUCAUAUUCUAAAGUGGCGGCAGCAGGGUGCUCUGAACCAGGCCCGUGGGCCAGUUUCCUGCAGGACAGCCACCUUUGGGGCUCGUCUAGGAGUCACAUUGGCGUGAAUGACCCUGAAGGAUUUAACCAAGGUGGGUUUGUAGAAACUGAUAACCAAGAUCGUGCACUCCACAUAACUCCAUCCCAGUUAGCUAAACUUCUCUGCAUACUGUGCCCUGGUGAGAAGGUGUGUGUGUGUGUGUGUGUGUGUGUGUGUGUGUGUGUGUGUGUGUGUGUGUGUGUGUACACAUCUGCAAGGCCAGGAAAUUGGGUUUAGUGCUGAGAGAAUUUUUUUUUUAUUUUAUUUUAUGUACAUUUGUAUUUUGCCAUGAGUGUUGGAUCUCCUGAAACUGGAAUUACUGACAGUUGUGAGUUGACCUGUGGGUGCUGGGAAUUGAACCCGGGUCCUCUGGAAGAGCAGUUGGUGCUCUUAACCUCUGAGUCAUCGCUCCAGUCCCUGGAGCUCUUGUUGCAUGGCUUCCUGAAGCGGCAUGAACUCUUGUCUGUCCACCCUGGAAUGACAGCAGACUGAAGGAGCAGCCCACUCAGAUGAACCUGGUGAACCAACCAGUGAGCCUUCUGGGGUCAGCAGUGAGAGCUGCACUGCGCUGUGGAUGUACAGCUUGCAGGCAUCUCCACUCACGACUCUCCUUUACCCCAGUCAAGUCUCGUGUAGCCCAGGCUGACUUUGAACUGAUCCUUCAGUCUUCAUCUCCCUGGUUCCGGGUUCGAAGGUGUGUUACAUCACAUCUGGCCAGGAGGCUGCUCCAUUUUUUUUUUUUUUAAUUUAUUUUGACUGCUUUUAUGACUUAGGGAAGAACUUCAGGGUUGUUGUUUUGUUUUUCUGAGUUUCCCCGAGCAUGCCCCCCUCCCCCGGCCCUGACACACACAUACCCCGCCCCUCGCCGUUUCCUCUACCAGCCAAAAUGUCCCAAUUUGGAGAAAACAACUGCAAACAUUACUUCGUUUCAUUUUCGUCUAACUUUGGAAAAGUCAGAACCGCCAGGGUUGGGGGACGCUCUGUCAAAGGGUCGCUCAGGAAAGAGUAAGAGGGUGAGCCGCUCCGCCGGCAAGGGGCGCAGGCUGGUCCAGCUGGGCCUGUGACCACCAUCCUGCUCCCUCCCUUUCCGGCCUGGCGCACGAAGCUGUUGCCAUAGAGACGGAGCUUGGUUGGCAACCGUCACUAGGGAGCGCGGACAGAAGACGCCGGCCGCUGGGGGAGUCCCGGAGGCAGGACGACCCAAGGCUUUUGAGGAACGAAGAGGGCGCGCCCCUAGGAAACUACAGGAUGUCAGAUACAGAAGAAAAUCCCCCCGAGGAAACAGGAGAACGUGUAGACACAGAAAAAGAAGAGGAAUAUAAUCCAAGUUCUGAAGAAGAAAAUCUGCAGCAGAGUCUAACCGAAGACACAGUGUCAUGGGAGGAGCCUCAGGAGGAGGAGAGACAGAUAGAAGAAGGAAAGAGAGGGGAGGAAGAGGAAGUGAGAGGGGAGGAGGUGGAAAAGAGAGAGGAGGAAGAGGAAAAGAGAGGGGAGGAAGAGAGAGGGGAGGAAGAGGAAAAGAGAGGAGAGGAAGAGAGAGGUGGAGAAGAGGAAAAGAGAGGGAAGGAAGAGAGAGGUGGGGAAGAGGAAAAGAGAGGGGAGGAAGAGAGAGGUGAAGAGGAAAAGAGAGGUGAGGAAGAGGAAGAGAGAGGUGGGAAAGAGGAAAAGAGAGGAGAGGAAGAGGAAGAGAGAGGUGGGGAAGAGGAAGAGAGAGGAGAGGAAGAGGAAGUGAGAUGGGAGGAAAAGGAGAGAGGUGAAGAAGAAAAAGGUGAGGAAGAGGACAAGGAGAAGGAAGAGGAGGAGCGUAAGGAGGAGAGGCAGGAGGGAAAGGAAGAGGAGGAGGAAAAAGAGAAAAAGGGAGGUCCUGGCAUAAAGCAACCGGCAAAGAAGUCUAAAAAGGCGCUCAACUUGGAUGACAUUGUCAUCAGCUCUGAGUCCUCCACAUCCGCAUCUUCACUGUCUGAAACCUCAGAGAGUAACGAGCCGUCCACACACUCCCAAAGUCCUGAAGUGAGCGAGAUUUUCAGAGAGGUCCGUCCAAGAGUUGAAGUGACUGAGGCACCCGCCAUCCCGACUGAAGAGACAGAGAUGGAGUCUCUCAGGUGGAAGUUGCUGCAGGAAGUUAAGGAGGAAGUUAACAAGGAGGCAGAAGUUUCAGCCCAAGGUCGGAGAGACAGAGAAUCCAGAACCUCUGGAAGGAUGUCCUACUUCCUCUCGGAAGACGGACAGAUAUCAUACCAGUUCAAAGGGAGUUCCAAGGCGUCCAUGGUGUCCACCUCCACAGAGGACACCUUGUUCCAGAAGGAAGAGGUCUCCAAGGUGUAUCCUUUGACCAUGACCUGGUCCUUUGGAUGGAACAGUUUCCUCCCCGUCUACUACAUCCGAGAUAACCAGAGAGUCAUCCUCUACGUCUGUGCACACACGGCCAUCAUUUACAACGUCUUCAGGAACACACAGUGCCACCUCCAGGGCCACCCUAACAUCAUCUCCUGCCUCUGUGUCAGCGAAGACAGGCGAUGGAUUGCCACAGCAGACAAAGGACCAGACUGCCUCAUAAUUAUGUGGGACUCCUUCACAGGAAUCCCUGUGCACACCAUAUUUGACAGCUGUCCAGAAGGCAAUGGCAUAAGAUCAAUAGCCAUCACCCGUGACGCCAAGCUUCUGGCUACUAUCUCAGAUGCCGAAAUCCAGAAAGUGUGCAUCUGGAAGUGGACUUUGGCAGUGGAGAAGCCUGCAUGCACUCUCGAUCUUCCCAAAGAGUACGGUUUCCAGAACUACCUCACCUUCAACCCAAGGAACAACAAAGAACUGGUGAGCAACAGCAAGACGCAGGCCAUCUUCUACUCCUGGUUCGAAGAGAAGGGUAUCCUGGCUCACAGCGCCCCGGUUUUAACAGAGAAAACAUUCAACAAACUCGUGGGAAAAUUUAGCCAGUCCAUCUUCCACUUGAAGUUAUCGCAAAUACUGUCAGCCACGAAGGAAGGGAAGCUGGUGGUCUGGGACGUCCACUACCCGCCAUCGUCCUCCUCCGUGCCGGCCCUUCCAUUCAUCAAGCCUUGCAAACUGGUCCAUUUACAGAAGGAAGGCAUCACUGUCCUCACCACCGUCGACAACUACAUUGUCACCGGGGACAUUAAGGGCAACAUUAAGUUCUACGACCACACCCUGUCUGUCGUCAACUGGUACAGUAACUUCAAACUAGGUGCCAUAAGGACGCUGUCCUUUUCAAAGGCCCCAGCAAGUCCGCCUACCGAGAAAUCCAACCUCCCCAUAGACUGCACUUUGAAAGGUGACCUUUUCGUCGUCAGGAAUUUUAUUAUCGGAACGUUUGACGCCACCGUGUACCACAUGACGGCGGAUGGCACCAAACUCGAGAAGCUCUUCGUGGAGCCCAGGGACGCCGUCUACGCCAUCUCCUGCCACCCCUACCAACCCCUCAUCGCGGUUGGAAGUGUCUGCGGGAUGAUCAAGGUGUGGGACUACGAGAAGAAGGUGUAUCUGUUCAGCAGGGCCUUCGAGAAGGGGCUUGGCGUCCAGAGUCUGACCUACAACCCCGAAGGAGCCCUGCUUGGAGCUGGAUUCACCGAGGGGACAGUUUAUAUUCUCGACGCGAUGUCUUUAGAAAAUGAAAUUCCAGAGCCCUUCAAAUAUUCCAGAACGAGCGUGUCUCACGUCAGCUUCUCGCACGACUCCAACUACCUGGCGACGGCUGAUAUCAGUUUCACGGUGGCCGUGUAUAAGGUGGUGGUCGUAGAUGGACAGAGGGUCUGGGAAUAUCUGGCGAGACUCCGCUCUCACCAUAACAGCAUCCGGAGCCUCCUCUUUGGUGUACACCUGGACAGCAACGAACCCAGGCUGCUGAGCCUCGGCAAAGACAGGUUCCUGAUAGAGUACAACCUUAUCAAGAGCUACAAAGACCACCUGGAAGUCCUGGACAUUCACCGGACAGACCAGGGGACCUACCCUACCUGUAUGAUCUGGUACCCGCCGCUCACCAAGGAGCUCUUCCUGCUCAUCUGUAACAGCUGCUACAAAGUGAAGCUUUUCAAUUCCACCACGAAAAUGUGCAGAAAGACGCUUCUCGGACCGGCUUACGGGUCUCCUAUCGAGCAUACCCAGGUGCUCCCCGUAAAGAACACAUUCGAGCUGCAGAAACGCCACUUGGUGUUCAUCAACAAAGACAAGGUCGGACUCCAGAUCUUACCUGUUGACGGCAAUCCACACAAAACGUGUGCUAUCGUUUGCCACCCAAGCGGGGUGGCUGGCAUGGCCCUUUCCUAUGAUGGCCGCUAUGCCUUCACAGCCGGAGGCGAAGACUGUUCCGUGGCCCAGUGGGAAAUCAACUUAAGUCACAACAGCUACAGAGUGCCUGCUACAUGCCCCAUGCUAGGAACAAAGAGUACCCGGCUCUCAGGAUGCUUCCUGGUGACGUGCGCAGAUCAAAGGCUGCUGUGCAGACGCAUGGACCCUGCACUUAACUUCCAGGUUGGGUGAUGAGAGUGCCCCUGCCUCUGGCUGGCUCCCUGAAGCAUUUCUCAGCGUCUGUGCAUCCUCAUGCUGGCCGGAGAGACCAAGGCUGAGCCUCCAGAGUGGGCAUUUACAGAAACAGUAAGGGUGGAUUAAAGAUCUGUUGCCGGUAGGGCUCCUCUGCCCCCCUCUACCCUGAGAGGAGACCUGGUCUGCCUAAAGUGAAGCUGGAAAAUGCUAGACGUGUACACCAGAGUAAGAACAUAUAGGUCCUUUAAGGUCAAAAAGAUAAGGGUUGCGGUAUAGCUUGGAGUCUCUGCUCCAGAAUCCGGGCGGUUUUCGUAAUGUCGCUAAUCCUUAGAGUCUGUCUCUGUAGUGGGGGUAACAACUUUUCAGGGUCCUGUAUGGAUCAGACAGGUGGACAUAGGUGAAUGCAGUAGCCAAUCUAUAAAUUAUGGCAUCCUUCCUUUCCUCCUGAAAAGGGCAUUUGUGUAUGAGACGGGACAAGCGCUGAACGGGACCCUCUCAUCCAUCUAAACGCAGUGGUCUGAACCAGGGUGGAGCCAAGGGCUGGGCUUAGCCAGAUCCUGUUUCUCAUGACCCGGGCCACGCAAGCUCCAGGGGCAGACGGCCCUGGCACCUCCCUCCCUCAAAGAGCAGCCUGAUUCACGGCUCCCGUGCCCUGGAGGCGGCUGUUUCUCUCGGGGGUGAAGACUUGACCCCGUUCUACGGUCUGGUGGCCGGCGGCAGGGAAGGAAAAUUCUACAGG